AGAGUUUGAUCCUGGCUCAGAUUGAACGCUGGCGGAAUGCUUUACACAUGCAAGUCGAACGGCAGCACGGGAGCUUGCUCCUGGUGGCGAGUGGCGAACGGGUGAGUAAUACGUCGGAACGUAUCCAUGUAAUGGGGGAUAACGCAGCGAAAGCUGUGCUAAUACCGCAUACGCCCUACGGGGGAAAGCAGGGGAUCUUCGGACCUUGCGUUAUUGGAGCGGCCGACGUCUGAUUAGCUAGUUGGUGGGGUAAAGGCCUACCAAGGCGACGAUCAGUAGCUGGUCUGAGAGGAUGAUCAGCCACACUGGAACUGAGACACGGUCCAGACUCCUACGGGAGGCAGCAGUGGGGAAUUUUGGACAAUGGGGGCAACCCUGAUCCAGCCAUUCCGCGUGAGUGAAGAAGGCCUUCGGGUUGUAAAGCUCUUUCAGCAGGGAAGAAACGAUCUUGGCUAAUACCUGAGAUUAAUGACGGUACCUGAAGAAGAAGCACCGGCUAACUACGUGCCAGCAGCCGCGGUAAUACGUAGGGUGCGAGCGUUAAUCGGAAUUACUGGGCGUAAAGCGUGCGCAGGCGGUUUUUCAAGUCUGAUGUGAAAUCCCCGGGCUUAACCUGGGAACUGCGUUGGAAACUGAAAGACUAGAGUGCGGCAGAGGGGGGUAGAAUUCCACGUGUAGCAGUGAAAUGCGUAGAUAUGUGGAGGAAUACCGAUGGCGAAGGCAGCCCCCUGGGUCGACACUGACGCUCAUGCACGAAAGCGUGGGUAGCAAACAGGAUUAGAUACCCUGGUAGUCG
rnacentral:rRNA from 1 species